rnacentral:rRNA from 1 species
UACGUAGGGGGCAAGCGUUGUCCGGAUUCAUUGGGCGUAAAGAGCGUGUAGGCGGCCAGGUAGGUCGGGUGGGAAAACUGGAGGCUCAACCUUCAGAGGUCGACCGAAACCAUCUGGCUAGAGUCCGGGAGAGGAGAGUGGAAUUCCUGGUGUAGCGGUGAAAUGCGCAGAUAUCAGGAAGAACACCCGUGGCGAAAGCGGCUCUCUGGAACGGUACUGACGCUGAGACGCGAAAGCGUGGGGAGCGAACAGG